rnacentral:rRNA from 1 species
UAAGCAUAUCAAUAAGCGGAGGAAAAGAAACCAACAGGGAUUGCCCCAGUAACGGCGAGUGAAGCGGCAACAGCUCAAAUUUGAAAUCUGGUCCCUAGGGCCCGAGUUGUAAUUUGUAGAGGAUGCUUUUGGUGAGGUGCCGCCCGAGUUCCCUGGAACGGGACGCCACAGAGGGUGAGAGCCCCGUCUGGCUGGCCGCCGAGCCUCUGUAAAGCUCCUUCGACGAGUCGAGUAGUUUGGGAAUGCUGCUCAAAAUGGGAGGUAUAUGUCUUCUAAAGCUAAAUAUUGGCCAGAGACCGAUAGCGCACAAGUAGAGUGAUCGAAAGAUGAAAAGCACCUUGAAAAGAGGGUUAAAUAGUACGUGAAAUUGUUGAAAGGGAAGCGCUUGUGACCAGACUUGGGCGCGGCGGAUCAUCCGGGGUUCUCUCCGGUGCACUUCGCCGCGUCUAGGCCAGCAUCAGUUCGUCGCGGGGGAAAAAGGCUUCGGGAACGUGGCUCCUCCGGGAGUGUUAUAGCCCGUUGCAUAAUACCCUGCGGUGGACUGAGGACCGCGCAUCUGCAAGGAUGCUGGCGUAAUGGUCACCAGCGACCCGUCUGAA